UACGGAGGAUCCAAGCGUUAUCCGGAAUCAUUGGGCGUAAAGAGCUCGUAGGCGGUCUGUCGCGUCUGCUGUGAAAACUCGGGGCUUAACCCCGGGCCUGCAGUGGGUACGGGCAGACUAGAGUGCGGUAGGGGAGACUGGAAUUCCUGGUGUAGCGGUGAAAUGCGCAGAUAUCAGGAGGAACACCGGUGGCGAAGGCGGGUCUCUGGGCCGUAACUGACGCUGAGGAGCGAAAGCGUGGGGAGCGAACAGG
rnacentral:rRNA from 1 species